AGAGCAGGGAGAGGAAACAACCGAAUGAACACAGGUAAAUACAGGGAAAUCCUUUACAUAUCACUUUUUGCUUUGUUGCAUAAAUUCUUCACUACCUUCACAGCGGAUUCAGCUUUGCAGUUAGCCUGUGGAUGUCGUGAUGAAGAAGCCACAUGCUCGGACUCCCAUUUAGUUUCUGAAUUGUAAGUUUGCAAACUGAGGUUCAUUAUCAGAGAUAACUGUAUCUGCUUGGUCGUGA